rnacentral:tRNA from 1 species
GGGAACGUAGCUCAGCCUGUGAAGGAAAGCUUAGCAGCUUCGGCUAAGGAGAGCACUACGCUGAAGACGUAGUUGUCCGGGAUUCAAAUUCCCGCGUUCCCA